rnacentral:ncRNA from 1 species
UCCCUGGUUGAUCCUGCCAGUAGUCAUAUGCUUGUCUCAAAGAUUAAGCCAUGCAUGUCUCAGUGCAAGCCGCAUUAAGGUGAAACCGCGAAAGGCUCAUUAAAUCAGUUGUGGUUCCUUAGAUCGUACCCAAGUUACUUGGAUAACUGUGGUAAUUCUAGAGCUAAUACAUGCCGACAGAGUUCCGACCGUCGCGGCGCCCUCGGGCGUCGCUCGCGGGAGGAACGCUUUUAUUAGAUCAAAACCGGGCCCGUCGCGGCGCGCUUCGUGCGCGUCCCGAUCGCGGCCCGCGCAAAGACCUGGGUGACUCUGAAUAACUUCGAGCUGAUCGCACGGUCUCCGUACCGGGCGACGCAUCUUUCAAAUGUCUGCCCUAAUCAACUGUCGAUGGUAGGUUCCAUGCCUACCAUGGUGGUAACGGG